AGUGAACGCUGGCGGCGUGCCUAAUACAUGCAAGUCGAACGGAGUGGCGCACGGGUGAGUAAUGUAUAGCUAAUCUGCCCUACACUAGAGGACAACAGUUGGAAACGACUGCUAAUACUCUAUAGUGUAGGAUGAGGCUAUAUUGUAUCAGCUAGUUGGUGAGGUAAUGACUCACCAAGGCUAUGACGCAUAACUGGUCUGAGAGGAUGAUCAGUCACACUGGAACGGAGGCAGGGUCCAGGCUCCUACGAGAGGCAGCGGUAGGGAAUAUUGCUCAAUGGGGGAAUCCCUGAAGCAGCCACGCGGCGUGGAGGAUGACACUUUGCGGAGCGUAAACUCCUUUUGUUAGGGAAGCGGUACCUAACGAAUAAGCACCGGCUAACUCCGUGCCAGCAGCCGCGGUAAUUC
rnacentral:rRNA from 1 species